UACAGAGGGGGCAAGCGUUGUUCGGAAUUACUGGGCGUAAAGGGCGCGUAGGCGGCCUGCUAAGUCGAACGUGAAAUCCCUGGGCUCAACCCAGGAACUGCGUCCGAUACUGGUUGGCUUGAAUCCGGGAGAGGGACGUGGAAUUCCAGGUGUAGCGGUGAAAUGCGUAGAUAUCUGGAGGAACACCGGUGGCGAAGGCGACGUCCUGGACCGGCAUUGACGCUGAGGUGCGAAAGCGUGGGGAGCAAACAGG
rnacentral:rRNA from 1 species